AGAGUUUGAUCAUGGCUCAGAUUGAACGCUGGCGGCAGGCUUAACACAUGCAAGUCGAACGAUGACUCUCUAGCUUGCUAGAGAAGAUUAGUGGCGGACGGGUGAGUAACAUUUAGGAAUCUGCCUAGUAGUGGGGGAUAGCUCGGGGAAACUCGAAUUAAUACCGCAUACGACCUACGGGUGAAAGGGGGCGCAAGCUCUUGCUAUUAGAUGAGCCUAAAUCAGAUUAGCUAGUUGGUGGGGUAAAGGCCCACCAAGGCGACGAUCUGUAACUGGUCUGAGAGGAUGAUCAGUCACACCGGAACUGAGACACGGUCCGGACUCCUACGGGAGGCAGCAGUGGGGAAUAUUGGACAAUGGGGGCAACCCUGAUCCAGCCAUGCCGCGUGUGUGAAGAAGGCCUUUUGGUUGUAAAGCACUUUAAGCAGGGAGGAGAGGCUAAUGGUUAAUACCCAUUAGAUUAGACGUUACCUGCAGAAUAAGCACCGGCUAACUCUGUGCCAGCAGCCGCGGUAAUACAGAGGGUGCGAGCGUUAAUCGGAAUUACUGGGCGUAAAGCGAGUGUAGGUGGCUCAUUAAGUCACAUGUGAAAUCCCCGGGCUUAACCUGGGAACUGCAUGUGAUACUGGUGGUGCUAGAAUAUGUGAGAGGGAAGUAGAAUUCCAGGUGUAGCGGUGAAAUGCGUAGAGAUCUGGAGGAAUACCGAUGGCGAAGGCAGCUUCCUGGCAUAAUAUUGACACUGAGAUUCGAAAGCGUGGGUAGCAAACAGGAUUAGAUACCCUGGUAGUCCACGCCGUAAACGAUGUCUACUAGCCGUUGGGGUCCUUGAGACUUUAGUGGCGCAGUUAACGCGAUAAGUAGACCGCCUGGGGAGUACGGCCGCAAGGUUAAAACUCAAAUGAAUUGACGGGGGCCCGCACAAGCGGUGGAGCAUGUGGUUUAAUUCGAUGCAGCGCGAAGAACCUUACCUGGUCUUGACAUAGUGAGAAUCUUUCAGAGAUGAGAGAGUGCCUUCGGGAAUUCACAUACAGGUGCUGCAUGGCUGUCGUCAGCUCGUGUCGUGAGAUGUUGGGUUAAGUCCCGCAACGAGCGCAACCCUUUUCCUUAUUUGCCAGCGGGUUAAGCCGGGAACUUUAAGGAUACUGCCAGUGACAAACUGGAGGAAGGCGGGGACGACGUCAAGUCAUCAUGGCCCUUACGACCAGGGCUACACACGUGCUACAAUGGUAGGUACAGAGGGCAGCUACACAGCGAUGUGAUGCGAAUCUCAAAAAGCCUAUCGUAGUCCAGAUUGGAGUCUGCAACUCGACUCCAUGAAGUAGGAAUCGCUAGUAAUCGCGGAUCAGAAUGCCGCGGUGAAUACGUUCCCGGGCCUUGUACACACCGCCCGUCACACCAUGGGAGUUGAUUGCACCAGAAGUGGAUAGCUUAACCGUAAGGGGAGCG
rnacentral:rRNA from 1 species